rnacentral:rRNA from 1 species
UACGAAGGGGGCUAGCGUUGCUCGGAAUCACUGGGUUUAAAGGGUGCGUAGGCGGUUUUUUAAGUCAGUGCUGAAAUACUCCAGCUUAACUGGAGGGGUGGCAUUGAUACUGGAAGACUUGAGUACAGAUGAGGUAGGCGGAAUUGACGGUGUAGCGGUGAAAAUGCAUAGAUAUCGUCAAGAACACCGAUAGCGAAGGCAGCUUACUGGGCUGUAAACUGACGCUGAUGCACGAAAGUGUGGGGAUCAAACAGG